rnacentral:antisense_RNA from 1 species
GUAUUAAAAGCAUCAAUUAAAGUAUUCAGAUCUAAAUUUUCAACAUUUUUAACAAAAACAUCUGGGGAAAAUAAAAUCUCUUCUUUAUUAUCUUGUGUAUAUCUAAAAAACACAAUGAAAGCAUCUGUUCCUAAUUUUAAGUAAUUAGCUGUUUUUGCCGUA